rnacentral:lncRNA from 1 species
CGAUUCGGCUGAUAAAAGAUCGGAUCAGCCAGGUUCGAAAACUUUACAGCAAAUUCGGUUCAGCCGGAUGAGCCGAAUGUACGGAUUAAGCAAGAACUAAAGUCGGCUGAUGAGCCGAAUGGCUAAAGAACACAGGGAUUGAUCGGCUUGAAGAGCCGAAUGCCUUUAUAUUCACUGAUGAGAAGUAUAGGGGUCGAGUGCGCCGGAUGGCAUGCAGACUCGGUUGAUUUACUUAAAGAACUACUUUUAGGAAAAACAGUAAGUGCGAGAAAGAAAGAAUUACAGGUAGACUACUACUAGAAAAUGCAGGAAAUUGGAAAUAAGUCUUUUAUUCACAGGGAAAAGACACCUUUUUAGGGCGUUAUUGACCUAUUUAUAGAUCGCCCCUUAAUCAGUU